rnacentral:rRNA from 1 species
AGAGAGAGACAUGCGCGCAUAUCAAUAAGCGGAGGAAAAGAAACUAACAAGGAUUCCCUUAGUAACGGCGAGUGAAGCGGGAAGAGCUCAAAUUUGAAAUCUUCAAGGUUUUACCUUGACGAAUUGUAGUUUAAAGAAGUGUUUUCUGCUGAAGUUUUGGUAAAAGUUCUUUGGAAUAGGACAUCAUAGAGGGUGAGAAUCCCGUAUUUGACCAUUAUUUUCAGCUUUGUGAUACACUUUCAAAGAGUCGGAUUGUUUGGGAAUGCAGUCCAAAAUAGGUGGUAAACUUCAUCUAAAGCUAAAUAUUGGCGAGAGACCGAUAGCGAACAAGUACCGUGAGGGAAAGAUGAAAAGAACUUUGAAAAGAGAGUUAAACAGUACGUGAAAUUGUCAAAAGGGUAGCGUUUGACACCAGUGUUGUUUUCUCGAAAAUCAAUUAAAAAAUGGCUCGGAUUUUGUAGUUGCUGAUGACCUUAUAAGCUCACUGUACAUCUUUUCUUGUCUUUUUUAAUGCACUUUUCGUUUAACAAGUCAACAUCAAUUUCUUUUGUUGUAAAAGGGUCAUUGGAAGGUGGCUUUCUUUUCGGAGAAAGUGUUUAUAGCCUUUGGCCUCUGCAAUCGGAGAGACUGAGGUCUGCAGCGUAGACUCUUCGGGGUUAGAUACAUUUGUGCUAAGUUAUAGCCUUUCAUAGACAACUUGUUGACUAUGAUUAGUCAUUGUAGCUUACUCGCUUAUGCUAUUUUACCUACGCUUAGGGAUGUUGAGUCGUAGAGCACGCAG